UUAAGCGACUAAGCGUACACGGUGGAUGCCCUGGCAGUCAGAGGCGAUGAAGGACGUGCUAAUCUGCGAAAAGCGUCGGUAAGGUGAUAUGAACCGUUACAGCCGGCGAUGUCCGAAUGGGGAAACCCAGUGUGAUUCGUCACACUAUCGUUAACUGAAUACAUAGGUUAACGAGGCGAACCGGGGGAACUGAAACAUCUAAGUACCCCGAGGAAAAGAAAUCAACCGAGAUUCCCCCAGUAGCGGCGAGCGAACGGGGAGCAGCCCAGAGUCUGAAUCAGCUUGUGUGUUAGUGGAACGGUCUGGAAAGUCCGACGGUACAGGGUGAUAGUCCCGUACACCAAAAUGCACAGGCUGUGAACUCGAAGAGUAGGGCGGGACACGUGGUAUCCUGUCUGAAUAUGGGGGGACCAUCCUCCAAGGCUAAAUACUCCUGACUGACCGAUAGUGAACCAGUACCGUGAGGGAAAGGCGAAAAGAACCCCGGCGAGGGGAGUGAAAAAGAACCUGAAACCGUGUACGUACAAGCAGUGGGAGCACCUUCGGGUGUGACUGCGUACCUUUUGUAUAAUGGGUCAGCGACUUAUAUUCUGUAGCAAGGUUAACCGUAUAGGGGAGCCGCAGGGAAACCGAGUCUUAACUGGGCGUUAAGUUGCAGGGUAUAGACCCGAAACCCGGUGAUCUAGCCAUGGGCAGGUUGAAGGUUGGGUAACACUAACUGGAGGACCGAACCGACUAAUGUUGAAAAAUUAGCGGAUGACUUGUGGCUGGGGGUGAAAGGCCAAUCAAACCGGGAGAUAGCUGGUUCUCCCCGAAAGCUAUUUAGGUAGCGCCUCGUGAAUUCAUCUUCGGGGGUAGAGCACUGUUUCGGCUAGGGGGUCAUCCCGACUUACCAACCCGAUGCAAACUACGAAUACCGAAGAAUGUUAUCACGGGAGACACACGGCGGGUGCUAACGUCCGUCGUGAAGAGGGAAACAACCCAGACCGCCAGCUAAGGUCCCAAAGUCACAGUUAAGUGGGAAACGAUGUGGGAAGGCACAGACAGCCAGGAUGUUGGCUUAGAAGCAGCCAUCAUUUAAAGAAAGCGUAAUAGCUCACUGGUCGAGUCGGCCUGCGCGGAAGAUGUAACGGGGCUAAACUGUGCACCGAAGCUGCGGCAGCGACACUAUGUGUUGUUGGGUAGGGGAGCGUUCUGUAAGCCUGCGAAGGUGGCCUGUGAGGGUUGCUGGAGGUAUCAGAAGUGCGAAUGCUGACAUAAGUAACGAUAAUGCGGGUGAAAAGCCCGCACGCCGGAAGACCAAGGGUUCCUGUCCAACGUUAAUCGGGGCAGGGUGAGUCGACCCCUAAGGCGAGGCCGAAAGGCGUAGUCGAUGGGAAACAGGUUAAUAUUCCUGUACUUGGUGUUACUGCGAAGGGGGGACGGAGAAGGCUAUGUUAGCCGGGCGACGGUUGUCCCGGUUUAAGCAUGUAGGCGGAGGUUCCAGGUAAAUCCGGUACCUUUUUAACGCUGAGGUGUGAUGACGAGGCACUACGGUGCUGAAGUAACAAAUGCCCUGCUUCCAGGAAAAGCCUCUAAGCAUCAGGUAACAUUAAAUCGUACCCCAAACCGACACAGGUGGUCAGGUAGAGAAUACCAAGGCGCUUGAGAGAACUCGGGUGAAGGAACUAGGCAAAAUGGUGCCGUAACUUCGGGAGAAGGCACGCUGAUAUGUAGGUGAAGCCCCUGCGGGUGGAGCUGAAAUCAGUCGAAGAUACCAGCUGGCUGCAACUGUUUAUUAAAAACACAGCACUGUGCAAACACGAAAGUGGACGUAUACGGUGUGACGCCUGCCCGGUGCCGGAAGGUUAAUUGAUGGGGUUAUCCGUAAGGAGAAGCUCUUGAUCGAAGCCCCGGUAAACGGCGGCCGUAACUAUAACGGUCCUAAGGUAGCGAAAUUCCUUGUCGGGUAAGUUCCGACCUGCACGAAUGGCGUAAUGAUGGCCAGGCUGUCUCCACCCGAGACUCAGUGAAAUUGAACUCGCUGUGAAGAUGCAGUGUACCCGCGGCAAGACGGAAAGACCCCGUGAACCUUUACUAUAGCUUGACACUGAACAUUGAGCCUUGAUGUGUAGGAUAGGUGGGAGGCUUUGAAGCGUGGACGCCAGUCUGCGUGGAGCCAACCUUGAAAUACCACCCUUUAAUGUUUGAUGUUCUAACGUUGGCCCCUUAUCGGGGUUGCGGACAGUGUCUGGUGGGUAGUUUGACUGGGGCGGUCUCCUCCCAAAGAGUAACGGAGGAGCACGAAGGUUAGCUAAUCCUGGUCGGACAUCAGGAGGUUAGUGCAAUGGCAUAAGCUAGCUUGACUGCGAGCGUGACGGCGCGAGCAGGUGCGAAAGCAGGUCAUAGUGAUCCGGUGGUUCUGAAUGGAAGGGCCAUCGCUCAACGGAUAAAAGGUACUCCGGGGAUAACAGGCUGAUACCGCCCAAGAGUUCAUAUCGACGGCGGUGUUUGGCACCUCGAUGUCGGCUCAUCACAUCCUGGGGCUGAAGUAGGUCCCAAGGGUAUGGCUGUUCGCCAUUUAAAGUGGUACGCGAGCUGGGUUUAGAACGUCGUGAGACAGUUCGGUCCCUAUCUGCCGUGGGCGCUGGAGAAUUGAGGGGGGCUGCUCCUAGUACGAGAGGACCGGAGUGGACGCAUCACUGGUGUUCGGGUUGUCAUGCCAAUGGCAUUGCCCGGUAGCUAAAUGCGGAAGAGAUAAGUGCUGAAAGCAUCUAAGCACGAAACUUGCCCCGAGAUGAGUUCUCCCUGAGACUUUAAGUCUCCUGAAGGAACGUUAAAGACGAUGACGUUGAUAGGUCGGGUGUGUAAGCGUAGCGAUACGUUGAGCUAACCGAUACUAAUGAACCGUGAGGCUUAACCUU
rnacentral:rRNA from 3 species